ensembl:lncRNA
AGACUAUCCCAAAUUCUCCAAGAAUUGGAAGUCCCUUGAUUCCAAAGAAAAAUACUGAAACAAGUAGUCUUCAAGCAAUGUUUAGAGGUUUUUCUACCGGUUUACCUGACUUGGAUUCAGAACCUUGGAUAGAAGUAAAGAGGCAUCACCUGUCCCCAGUCAAAUUAAAGGAAUCAAUACCUAUACCUGAAGAGGAAUCAAAUCAAUAAUGUCUUUCAGGAGAACAAUAACAAGAACUUGAUUCUCUAUUUGAUGAAGAGAUGGAAUAAAUGGAUGAAAAAACACAUUUACUGAUUGGUCUGAUAAAGGUUGAGAUUAUGAAAUUGAUGACCGGGAUUUAAACAGGACUUUGAUUGUAACUCAGACACCUUAUAUGAGAAAACUUCUGGAGGAGACUGAAUAGGAAACCACAUGUCUUAGACAAAACUUACAUGAGAAGUUGUUGAAGUUAAUAAUGGCUCAUAUUACUAUGAGGAGGAUCUAUGGAUGGAUGGAAGAUGAAAAACACAGCCAUAAAGGGAUCCAGCUCAGGACCUUGCCCUUGAACAGCAGGUGCUGGAACCACUGAGCUAAAUCCCUGGCCCCUUAACAUGUAAAUCUUACAUCUGCAUUGCUGGUGUGUAUAAUAUACAUUUGCAACUGCUGUAGCACAAAUUAACUGUAUUACAAUUUAUGCCAUUUUAAUGUUUUCGUUAAGAAACUGUAAUAUAAUGAAAUACAGUCUGUUAAAUCAAUGCCUUUGCAUUAUUGCAAUCAAAGACCCCAUGAGAAGUGGAACAAGCCUCCCAGUGGGACAAUCAUUCAUGUACCACUGGUGGUUCAAGCCAGUGGGAAUGAUUGAAUUCAAAUCAGAGUCACCUAGCAGUGAGACAUACAAAUUACAGCCCUGUCUUGAAUGUUUUAAAAGCAACAAGAGAACAUGUAAAUGGAACACCUUCUAGAUGACACAAAGACUAAUCUACAAAUAACUAGAAGUGAAAAGUCAGAAGACAGCACAAAUAACGUUAAAAAAACCUGUUCAUAGAAAUAAUGGCAGAAAAUUUCCCAAACAAAGUGAGAGAAGGAAACAUGCAGAUAGUGAGGCAAGUAGCCACAACCAAAACCCUGCCACAUAAUAAAAUAUUAGAAAUCCAUCACAG